ACAAAAUAACAAUGAUCGCAGAUAAGAGUGAAUAUAGAUAGAGAA
rnacentral:guide_RNA from 1 species